rnacentral:siRNA from 1 species
GAGCAUGGAGAGCCUUACAUGGU